rnacentral:lncRNA from 1 species
CUAGAAGGCUCAACAUAAAGCUAGGUGGGAAGGCAUGGGAAACCAUCACCAUAGCAAACAAGAGGAUUAACUAACACUAUAUUAGGAUGCAGGGGAGUCGAGAAGAGGCAUCCGAGCCAACUCAUUCCAUAAGUAUCAUAUCUGGAACAUGGAAGCAGAUGUCUUACAAGGGAACCUGGAGCUUCGAGGAUUGUGUACCAGAGUCUGGGAAAAACUGAAAGCUACUGUUUGGCAAAAGGCAGAGGUCUGUACAUCGGCUAGUAAGCUGGAGCAGUACAGUCAAGUUCAGGUCCAUCCCACAGUUCUCUCCUUCUAGAGCUGGUUGCUGCCUGAAGUUAAUUCUCUUUUCCAAAA